UUUAACUUUCAUUAAACUCAAUUACUUAAAUCCAUUGUAUACAUAGUUUAUUUAUAAUAAUAAUACAAUUACUAAACUAACUAAUAUUCCUGGACUCGACCCAUACCACCGAAUUAGCCCAAUUCCUUUUAUUGAAACAUUUGCAGACGUAACCUUCGACUUCAUAGAAACCUUUAUAUGUGUCUUGGUUAAUGAUCAAGGUAACUAAUUACUCGAUUCAAGAGAUUUAACAAGAGAAAUGGCGUUACUUGUGUAACUCAUUGUGGUAUUCAUCCUUGAGAACACGAAGGUCUUGAUGUGUUUCCCAAGAACGCUCAAAUCAGGAGGAGUGUCGUCAUUAGAGAAUUCAACCAAACAUGUUCCCUGAUCUGUUACUGCUGUGCGAACCCACGACACGGCGUUGUACAAUAUGCGAUGCCUUCUCCCCCUCCUAGCAAUCCACCAAUGCUUCGACCUCCUUGUCUGAUUCAUCUAACAUAUCCAAAGCUAAUUCGACCAUUUCGAUGCAAACAUCCAUGAUAGCUGCCGUCAUUGGUUCGACAACAGACGUGUUUCUAGCUAUCGUGUUCUUUAUGGCAAGGAAGUUGUUGUUGACUUGAAUGAGGCGGUCACGAGUGAUAUUAAUAGCAGCGAUGGCGAGAUGGAUCGGAUCUUCAUCGAUGUAUGUGGCAUAUGAGACAAGGGAACCAUAGCAGAUGCGUUGAUACAUUGUCAUCUUGCAACUUCUCCAAAUGUAUUUGUUGAUGAUCGGAGGAUCUUCAUUCGAUAAUAUGGAUCCUGUUGCCGAAAUCCCGACGACGAUGAUUACAAGAAACAUGCUUGUUUUAGCCAUUUUAAUUUCUCCUUCUUCUCUUUCUUUUUCGAUUGUGCAGAUUGAUAGAAACUGUUAGCUUUUAUACAUUUCCACAAUCCUAUAUUUACCUACGAGAAUAUAGGAGUUAAAUGUAACCAAUUAAUUUGGAGUAAAAAAUAACAACCUACAAUUUUUUUGAUCAUUUUAUCCUUAUAAUUAAUUCAAAUUUUCGAAUAUGCCAUUGUAAUAAAAUAUAAAAUAAAGGGCAGAAAUUUUAGGGAAGAAUUAUUACCAGGUGUUGUCGAGGCUGCGGAGACGACGACAGUCGGAUUGCGUGAAGAAAUCGCUGGAGAUGGUCGGACGCAAUCGUUGGAAGGGUUUUGGGGAAGAACUUAGGUUUAUAAUGAACAUGCAGUACUUAUCAUUACUACCGUUAAUACAAAAACAUGUUAUCUGAAAUUUAACUUUCAUUCAACUCAAUUAAUUGAAUCCAUUGUAUACAGAGUUUAUUUAUAAUAAUAAUACAAUUACAACAAUUACUAAACUAACUAAUAUUCCUGGACUAGGCCCAUACCACCGAAUUAGCCCAAUUCCUUUUAUUGAAACAUUUGCAGACGUAACUUUCGACUUCAUAGAAACCUUUAUAUGUCUCUUGGUUAAUGAUCAACGUAACUACUAAUCACUCGAUUCAAGAGAUUUGACGAGAGAAAGGGUGUUACUUGUGUAACUCAUUGUGGUAUUCAUCCUUGAGAACACGAAGGUCUUGAUGUGUUUCCCAAGAACGCUCAAAUCAGGAGGAGUGCCGUCAUUAGAGAAUUCAUCCAAACAUGUUCCCUGAUCUGUUACUGCUGCGCCAACCC
rnacentral:lncRNA from 1 species